UACGGGGGGGGGCAAGCGUUGUUCGGAAUUACUGGGCGUAAAGGGCUCGUAGGUGGCCAACUAAGUCGGACGUGAAAUCCCUCGGCUUAACCGGGGAACUGCGUCCGAUACUGGUUGGCUUGAGUUUGGGAGAGGGAUGCGGAAUUCCAGGUGUAGCGGUGAAAUGCGUAGAUAUCAGGAAGAACACCCGUGGCGAAGGCGGCUCUCUGGGACGGUACUGACGCUGAAGACGCGAAAGCGUGGGGAGCGAACAGG
rnacentral:rRNA from 1 species